rnacentral:rRNA from 1 species
AGAGUUUGAUCAUGGCUCAGGAUGAACGCUGGGGCGUGCCUAACACAUGCAAGUCGAACGGGACUAUUAAGCGAUGUUUUCGGACUGAACUUUUAGUUUAGUGGCGGACGGGUGAGUAACGCGUGGAUAACCUGCCUUUCACAGGGGGAUAGAGCUGGAAACGGCUGGUAAUACCGCAUACGCUCAUAUCACCGCAUGGUGGUGUGAGGAAAAUUUAUCGGUGAAAGAUGGAUCCGCGUCUGAUUAGCCAGUUGGCGGGGUAACGGCCCACCAAGCGACGAUCAGUAGCCGGCCUGAGAGGGCGGACGGCCACAUUGGGACUGAGACACGGCCAGACUCCUACGGGAGGCAGCAGUGGGGGAUAUUGCACAAUGGGCGCAAGCCUGAUGCAGGACGCCGCGUGAGUGAAGAAGUAUUUCGGUAUGUAAAGCUCUAUCAGCAGGGAAGAAAGGUCGUAAGAGAGAUGACGGUACCUGACUAAGAAGCCCCGGCUAACUACGUGCCAGCAGCCGGGUAAUACGUAGGGGGCAAGCGUUAUCCGGAUUUACUGGGUGUAAAGGGAGCGCAGACGGACUGCAAGUCUGAUGUGAAAGCCCGGGGCUCAACCGCGGGACUGCAUUGGAAACUGUAGACUGGAGUGCCCGGAGGGGCAAGCGGAAAUUCCUGGUGUAGCGGUGAAAUGCGUAGAUAUCGGAGGAACACCGGCGGCGAAGGCGGCUUGCUGGACGGCAACUGACGUUGAGGCUCGAAAGGUGGGGAGCAAACAGGAUUAGAUACCCUGGUA